CGUAGGGUGCGAGCGUUAAUCGGAAUUACUGGGCGUAAAGCGUGCGCAGGCGGUUAUGUAAGACAGAUGUGAAAUCCCCGGGCUCAACCUGGGAACUGCAUUUGUGACUGUAUAGCUAGAGUACGGCAGAGGGGGAUGGAAUUCCGCGUGUAGCAGUGAAAUGCGUAGAUAUGCGGAGGAACACCGAUGGCGAAGGCAAUCCCCUGGGCCUGUACUGACGCUCAUGCACGAAAGCGUGGGGAGCAAACAGGAUUAGAUACCCUGGUAGUCCACGCCCUAAACGAUGUCAACUGGUUGUUGGGUCUUCACUGACUCAGUAACGAAGCUAACGCGUGAAGUUGACCGCCUGGGGAGUACGGCCGCAAGGUUG
rnacentral:rRNA from 1 species